AGAGACUAACAGGAUUCCCCUAGUAACUGCGAGUGAAGCGGGAGAAGCUCAAAUUUAAAAUCUGACAGUCUUUUGGCUGUCCGAGUUGUAAUCUAGAGAAGUGUUAUCCGCGCUGGACCGUGUACAAGUCUCCUGGAAUGGAGCAUCAUAGAGGGUGAGAAUCCCGUCUUUGACAUGGACUGCCAGGGCUUUGUGAUGCGCUCUCAAAGAGUCGAGUUGUUUGGGAAUGCAGCUCAAAAUGGGUGGUAAAUUCCAUCUAAAGCUAAAUAUUGGCGAGAGACCGAUAGCGAACAAGUACCGUGAGGGAAAGAUGAAAAGAACUUUGGAAAGAGAGUUAAACAGUACGUGAAAUUGCUGAAAGGGAAACGCUUGAAGUCAGUCGCAUUGUCCAGGGAUCAACCUUGCUUUUGCUUGGUGCACUUUCUGGUUUGAUGGGUCAGCAUCAAUUUUGACUGUUGGAAAAAGGUCAAGGGAAUGUGGCAUCUUGGGAUGUGUUUAUAGCCCUUGGUCACAUACAAUGGUUGGGAUUGAGGAACUCAGCACGCCGCAAGGCCGGGUUUUAAACCACGUACGUGCUUAGGAUGCUGGCAAUAUGGCUUUAAUCGACCCGUCUUGAAACACGGACCAAGGAGUCUAACAUGCCUGCGAGUGUUUGGGUGGAAAACCCGAGCGCGUAAUGAAAGUGAAAGGUUGAGAUCCCUGUCGUGGGGAGCAUCGACGCCCGGACCAGACCUUUUGUGACGGUUCCGCGGUAGAGCAUGUAUGUUGGGACCCGAAAGAUGGUGAACUAUGCCUGAAUAGGGUGAAUCCAGAGGAAACUCUGGUGGAGGCUCGUAGCGAUUCUGACGUGCAAAUCGAUCGUCAAAUUUGGGUAUAGGGGCGAAAGACUAAUCGAACC
rnacentral:rRNA from 1 species